rnacentral:rRNA from 1 species
AUGCUUAGGAAAAUGUACCAAGGUGGUCCUUCAAGGAAGCAAGGACCCAGGCUCGGAAUGCGCGAUGCCGAUGAUGAGCCACCAAGGAACGCUCCAGUGCGGCCUUGUGAAUGGCCUUCAGAAGGCUUUAUGGAUCGAGCGAGAAUCAAGGAAGAAUUUAACGCGUAUUUGCGUAACGCUGAUCUUGUAAGCUUCGAGGGAGAAAAGUGCCGCCAGUACCACUAUCUCACUAGUUCAUUUGUGAGGAGGUUUGAAUAUUCAUCUUCACGUAAUUCUCAAACUGUCCUAUUUGAUCUCUAUGAAAAAUCUUACACUAUGGACUUAGAGGAUUUCACCAAUGCUUGCAAACUUCCACAAUGGGGUAGUACUAGUGAACCUUGCAAAUCUGAAUUUAGAGAAUUUCUUGCUAGUAUAACUGUGGGAGAAUCUAGAGACAUAGCACAAGCUACCAUAGGGAGCAUUCAUUUUCCUGCUAUACAUUAUUUUGCUCUCUUCAUAGGUAGGUGCAUAAAUGGUAAGGAUGAAGCAUGUCAUAUGUGUGUCCCUGACCUCAGUAUUCUUAGGAGUGCUGUGUUAGGAGACAAAUCUUAUAAUUUGGGAGCCAUUGUUGCGCGUAGGUUGCAUCACAAUAGAUUUAAUGGAGAUUUCUCUGGUGGAAUUUAUGCAACCCGCUUAGCUGAUUUUCUUGGUGUAACCAUACGCGAUGAUGAUAUUGAACUGCCUCCUACUUAUCUAGACUUUAAUGUUAUGGUUCAUCAUCAGGUUGUCGAGAGGAAUGAACCACCUCUCCAGUACAGACUAAUCUUUGACAGGCAUCACGCCGUCAAUAUUGUUCUUCCUGCCCCUACUCUCUUUGACUUUCAGGAAAAAGGGAGACAUUACAUAACCAGAGAGGAGGCGGAGGAGUAUAGGAGGAGGGCCGAGAUAGCUCGCCUCCAAGCUGCAGCACACGAUGCAAUGACCGCUGCAUCUCAGUACGACCCCAACUACAACUUUGGAUAUCCGCCAGGCCAGCCGUGGCAAUAA